CUUCUUCCAUUAAUGUUUCCAUUGGCAGACCAGCAGCCAACACUUAGCCCCGCUUUUCUUCUUCUUAUUUGGCCUUCUUCGCGAAUCUGAGCUAGAUCCAGCUCCUUCUUCUUUGGUCUUCUUUGCAAAGCUGAACCAGACCCAGCUCCUUCUUCGGUCUUCUUCGUUGGCAGAUGAACCUCCUUCAGAACCUGAACUACCCUCGUUUCCCACGCCAC
rnacentral:misc_RNA from 1 species